rnacentral:rRNA from 1 species
UUGGCGGGCGUAUUUCCCCCCGUAGUAGAAUGCCGCGACCCAUUGCUUGGGGGACGUCAAAGGCCCGGUUGGAUUGGUACCUCGUUAACUCAUUUCCAUUUGGUGGGCUUCACUGUCGACCAUGGGUGAGUGGCGUGGGAAACCUCCGGUGUCAUAUAUAUCCUGACUGCCCUGCGAUGGUCGUUGAGGAGAGCUUACGGGCUUUCGCGGUGUCGAAUCCAUUUCAGUGGACCACCCGACCCGUCUUGAAACACGGACCAAGGAGUCUAACAUGUGUGCAAGUCAUUGGGUUCACUAAACCUAAAGGCAAAAUGAAAGUGUCAAAAGUAUAUGGAGUGUAAUGCUCCUUGGGUUGAUCCUUGACCGGCUGCCGGCAACUAGGUCCUUUGGGAGAAGUGGGGAGGUGAGAACCUUUCCCUCCUUAACCUCUCAUUGGACGUCUGUUGUUCGAGCGAAGGUCUAUGCUCCUUGGGGAGGGGGCGCAAACCCGGGACUUGCCAUGUGACGCACUGUAUCUCUGCUUCUUCUCGUAUGAGUUGUUGGUUAGUGUGCAGUUGUAGUCGGCAAGUACCCUGAGCAGGCAUGUUGGGACCCGAAAGAUGGUGAACUAUGCCUGGCCAGGAUGAAGCCAGAGGAAACUCUGGUGGAGGUCCGCAGUGAUUCUGACGUGCAAAUCGAUCGUCUGAGCUGGGUAUAGGGGCGAAAGACUAAUCGAACCAUCUAGUAGCUGGUUCCCUCCGAAGUUUCCCUCAGGAUAGCUGGGACUCGUUGGAUGAAUUUCAUCCGGUAAAGCGAAUGAUUAGAGGUCUUGGGGGCGAAACGCCCUCAACCUAUUCUCAAACUUUAAAUGGGUGAGAUGCCAAGCUUGCUUAAAUAGUGAAGCUUUGGUGAUUAAUCUGAGUGUCUAGUGGGCCACUUUUGGUAAGCAGAACUGGCGCUGUGGGAUGAACCAAACGUUGAGUUAAGGGGCCUAAAUGAAUGCUCAUUAAGAUCCCACGAAAGGUGUUGGUUGCUAUAGACAGCAGGACGGUGGCCAUGGAAGUUGGAAUCCGCUAAGGAGUGUGUAACAACUCACCUGCCGAAGCAACUAGCCCUUAAAAUGGUAUGGCGCUAAAGCAUUCUCCCGAUACUCAACCGCCGGGGCACUACAGGCUAGAGGCCUUUGCAAAAGGCAGGUCUCGAAGCCCCGGUGAGUAGGAGGGUCGCGAUGGUGAGCGUUGAAGGGUAUGGCGUGAGCCGGCCUGGAGCCUCCAUUGGUGCAGAUCUUGGUGGUAGUAGCAAAUAGCCGAGAGAGACUCCCUUGAAGACCGAAGUGGAGAAGGGUUCCAUGUGAACAUCAGUUGGACAUGGGUUAGUCAGUCCUAAGCCCAAGGCUAAUGCCUUAUACCACGCUAGCGGCAAUGACCGAGCGAGUAUAUGUACACCCUAAGGGGGGGGGUGAAAGCCAGUGUGUAAUCUGYUUCAGUAUACAAACACACAGAGAAGGAGAAGGAGAAGGAGAAGGAGAAGGAGAAGGAGAAGGAGAAAGAGAGAGAGGGGGNNNNNNNNNNNNNNNNNNNNNNNNNNNNNNNNNNNNNNNNNNNNNNNNNNNNNNNNNNNNNNNNNNNNNNNNNNNNNNNNNNNNNNNNNGUGGUGGUGUUGAUGCAAUACUGAAAGACAACCAUUUUGGUGAACAUGUAUGUUGACAAGGUAUGCUCUGGGAUGCAUACUGCUCUGUUCAUAUAUAUAUUUUGAUUGGAAGGCUGUUUGCAAUAUGAUCUGGAUUUUGAGUUCUCUUCUUGAAGAGUUCUCUUCUGAAAGUCUAAGAACAGAUAUCAAAAUUGCCCGUUGGGACUUUGUGGCGAAAGGGAAUACGGUACUUAUUCCGUAACCUGGUCUGGAACAUCCUUUGGGAAACCAUUGGAACGCAGGAACCUGGUAACAGGAACAAGCCUGCGUCCAUCGGUGGAGGCCCGGGAAAGAGUUUUCUUUUCUGUUUAAGGCGCUGUGACCCUGGAAGCCACUCGCAGAGAGAAAGGGUGUUGGUAAAACAGUUGCCGUAGAGUGCUGCGGUUCUUGCAGCAUCCCGCGUGCCUCUGCCGGUCCUUGAAAAACGCAUGUGCGGCAACCUGCAGACAAGGUGAAGCGGUCCCCAGAACCGUGAUGUACCUAAUUUCAGACCAGCCUGUACCCAUAUCCG